rnacentral:rRNA from 1 species
GAUGAACGCUGGCGGCGUGCCUAAUACAUGCAAGUCGAGCGAACAGACGAGGAGCUUGCUCCUCUGACGUUAGCGGCGGACGGGUGAGUAACACGUGGAUAACCUACCUAUAAGACUGGGAUAACUUCGGGAAACCGGAGCUAAUACCGGAUAAUAUAUUGAACCGCAUGGUUCAAUAGUGAAAGACGGUUUUGCUGUCACUUAUAGAUGGAUCCGCGCCGCAUUAGCUAGUUGGUAAGGUAACGGCUUACCAAGGCAACGAUGCGUAGCCGACUUGAGAGGGUGAUCGGCCACACUGGAACUGAGACACGGUCCAGACUCCUACGGGAGGCAGCAGUAGGGAAUCUUCCGCAAUGGGCGAAAGCCUGACGGAGCAACGCCGCGUGAGUGAUGAAGGUCUUCGGAUCGUAAAACUCUGUUAUUAGGGAAGAACAAAUGUGUAAGUAACUAUGCACGUCUUGACGGUACCUAAUCAGAAAGCCACGGCUAACUACGUG